AUUGAACGCUGGCGGCAGGCCUAACACAUGCAAGUCGAACGAGUGGCGGACGGGUGAGUAAUGUCUGGGAAACUGCCUGAUGGCGGGGGAUAACUACUGGAAACGGUCGCUAAUACCGCAUACCAUCAGAUGUGCCCAGAUGGGAUUGGCUUGGUGGUGGGGUAACGGCUCACCAAGGCGACGAGCCCUAGCUGGUCUGAGAGGAUGAACAGCCACACUGGAACGGUGACACGGUCCAAACUCCUACGGUAGGCAGCAGUGGGGAAUAUGUCACAAUGGGGGCAAGCCGGAUGCAGCCAUGCCGCGUGUAUGAAGAAGGCCUGCGGGUUGUAAAGUACUUUCAGCGGGGAGGCGUUACCCGCAGAAGAAGCACCGGCUAACUCCGUGCCAGCAGCCGCGGUAAUUC
rnacentral:rRNA from 1 species